rnacentral:rRNA from 1 species
CGGGGGGGCAAGCGUUGUUCGGAAUUACUGGGCGUAAAGGGCGCGUAGGCGGUUUGCUAAGUUGGAUGUGAAAACUCUGAGCUUAACUCAGAGCCUGCAUCCAAAACUGGCAGGCUGGAGUUUUGGAGGGGGAAGCGGAAUUCCUGGUGUAGCAGUGAAAUGCGUAGAUAUCAGGAGGAACACCGGUGGCGAAGGCGGCUUCCUGGACAAAAACUGACGCUGAGGCGCGAAAGCUAGGGGAGCAAACAGGAUUAGAUACCCUGGUAGUCCUAGCCCUAAACGAUGGAUACUUGCUGUGAGGGGGAUUGAAUCCCUUCGUGGCGAAGCUAACGCAUUAAGUAUCCCGCCUGGGGAUACGGGUCGCAAGGCUG